rnacentral:rRNA from 1 species
GUGUCAGCAGCCGCGGUAAUACGUAGGGGCCAAGCGUUGUCCGGAUUUAUUGGGCGUAAAGAGCUCGUAGGCGGUUCGGCAAGUCGAAUGUGAAAUCUCCACGCUCAACGUGGAGGGGUCAUUCGAUACUGCCGUGACUUGAGUACGGUAGGGGAGUGUGGAAUUCCCGGUGUAGCGGUGAAAUGCGCAGAGAUCGGGAGGAACACCCGUAGCGAAGGCGGCACUCUGGGCCGAUACUGACGCUGAGGAGCGAAAGCGUGGGGAGCGAACAGGAUUAGAUACCCUGGUAGUCCACGCCGUAAACGUUGGGCACUAGGUGUGGGGUUCUAUCGACGGACUCCGUGCCGUAGCUAACGCAUUAAGUGCCCCGCCUGGGGAGUACGGCCGCAAGGCUAAA